UUGGAGAGAGCUCGUUCGUUAGGACUGUAAGUUAAGUCCGGCUGAUCCAGUGAAAAAGGCUAGAUUUAGUUUCGUUUUAUAAUACAGUUAUUCUGUCACAGAUCGGGCAGUUUCAAAAUAAUUGUAUUGUUAAGGGAGACGGGUUCUGAGCCUAUUCAUUGGUUCAGUUAAUAUUUGUUCUUUUAAAAUACUAAAGUCGCGAUUAAACCAGUGGAUGCCAAAAGGGGAAGCCAUUUCAAAAAGGAAGGUACCCUAGCCGAUCAUUCUAAUUCCAACCGUCACCUGAAGAAGACCAAGAAGCAGCGACCACAGGAGGAUGGAGUGGACAACUGUGAGGGUGUACAUUGUGGCUGGUGUUUUAUAGCUCACCACAACAGUAGCCUGUUUGAGGCCAGUGUAUCCAUCGCAGCCGGAAUGCAGAUAGGGCUUGAUGGCAAGCAGGUACUUGUGGUUGGGAUCGGGAUACUCGUCGCCCACCCUGACCAGCGAGGCAUCCACCCUCUGCCCGGGUGGGGCCGUCGGGUCGAAGCCAAAGCUCACUCCGGUCACUUGCGGGAACCGACCCUCCAGGCGAGGAUAAGCAGACACAGCGUUCUUCAGAGCUAGCAGAAUGUCUGCACCUGGUCAUAGAAUAGCAUAGAAAUGAACUUUAUUUAUUUGACAAAACAAAUUUAGACUACCGUAGUUCUUAAUCCAAUAAGAAACAAAUUGAAAGAAAUAAAAAGUUCAUAGGGCUUGGCACUCUGCCGACAGCCAAAGUUUGUGUUAAAUUAUAAUAAUUACCGGUAACUCUUGAGGCAGAAUAAAGAACAUGAAUAU